rnacentral:rRNA from 1 species
UUUUAUUGAGAGUUUGAUCCUGGCUCAGGAUGAACGCUGGCGGCGUGCUUAACACAUGCAAGUCGAACGGAGCACCCCUGAUGGAG